GAUGAGGGCUUCGAUCUCAUCCUUAAGUUGGAUGCAUUGCUCGGUAUUGUGGCCGUGGCCCCGAUGGAAUCGACAGUACUUCCGUCGGUCGAGGCCUUUUGCCUUCAGAGGCGGAGGCCGUCGCAGGUAUUCUUCCCCCUCGAUCUCCAUCAAAAUCUGCGCACGGGGAGCAGAGAGAGGAGUGUAGGAGUCAUACCUGGGGUGCGCCGGCCUUGGAGUCUGCCGUCGGGGCGACUUCUGGUUUCGUCGCGGGGGUGAGACCC
rnacentral:lncRNA from 1 species